GCCAGAGAAAAGCCAAGAGAAGCACUUAAAAUUAACAACACAAAAUGUCUUUCCACUACAUUUGGUUUAAUAAGUAGGAUUUUAUUUUAGGGUUCAAAGAAACAUGACGUUUAUUGGUCAGAUUAUUACACUGGUUGUCUAUUUUGUUAUUGUUUUAUUUUAGUUUUUAGAAAGGAUUAAUGUAAAAAAAGAUUUAGAGAUCUGUUUCUUAAAGCUACAGGGUUUAAAAAUUAAAAAUGAGUGAAAAUACUUGAUGUUUCUUGAAAGAUAAAUUUAAGAUUCUUCUGAAGUAGUCUCUAGAGGAAUCAUUCUAGGAACGGGCUUUUUUUCACCGUUGAACCCUGGGCCUAAAGUUCAUGCUUUAUCCUCUCGGUGUUUGUAUCUGUCUGAUGAUUUUGUUCGUAACCUCCAUUAUCUAG
rnacentral:lncRNA from 1 species